CUUAAUCUAGCAGGUAACAGCUGAGGAGGUAAAUACUGCAAUCAAGCAAAUGCCAAAAGAGAAAACCCCUAGAGUUGAUGGAUUUCCAAUUGAAUUCUUCACUACCUAUUGGAAAGAGGUACAAAAUGAUCUCUUAAAUACAGUUUUUUACUUUUUCAAUAGUAGUGUCAUGGAUAAAAGAGUCAGUUGUACAGCUGUAACUUUAAUCCCUAAAGUACCCUCCCCUACCCAUGUAAAAGAUUACAGACCAAUUGCAUGUUGCACAACUGUGUAUAAGAUAAUCACUAAGGUGCUUACAAGAAGAUUAAAGACUGUGAUAGGGGAUUUAAUCAGAGAUGCACAAUCAGUCUUUAUAGAAGGUAGAUGCAUUACAACUAACAUCAUAUUUGCUCAUGAAUUAUUCAAAGGCUAUAACAGGAAGGGCAUAUCCCCAAGAUGUGUCCUAAAAGUAGACAUUAGGAAAGCAUAUGAUUCACUAUAUUGGUAUUUCCUGAAGAGACUAUUGAUGGGGAUGGCGUUCCCUAGUAAAUUUGUAGGUUUGAUAAUGGCAUGUAUCACCACUGUUUUAUAUUCUUUAACAAUUAAUAGUGGCCUCACUGAAUCAUUCCAAGGCAAGAAGGUUAUAAGGCAAGGUGACCCAAUGUCACCUUACCUAUUUGUACUUGCUAUGGAAUAUUGGAAUAGGCUGCUGAAAAAGCUGGGUAGGAAUAAAAAUUUCAACUCGAAACCGAUCGAUCUAGCCAUAAGUAGGUUGAAGAGAGCUCUAACAGGCCUUGGAUGACCGAACCCACGUAUGUGGCAAAAUACGAGGAUGACUUGUGGCUAGGGGUGAAAGGCCAACCAAGAUCGGAUAUAGCUGGUUUUCCGCGAAAUCUAUUUCAGUAGAGCGUAUGAUGUCGAUGGCCCGAGGUAGAGCACUCAAUGGGCUAGGGUGGCCUCAUUUUGCCUUAUCAACCCCAGGGAAACUCCGAAUAUAGGCCUAGAUCAUUUGUACAGAUAGACUUUUUGGGUGCUAAGAUCCAAAGUCGAGAGGAAAACAACCCAGAUCGUACGCUAAGGUCCCUAAGCAAUCACUUAGUGGAAAAGAAAGUGAUAGACCGAUGACAACCAGGAGAUGGGCUUAGAAGCAACCAUCCUUUGAAGAAAGCAUAAUAGCUUACUGGUCUAGCUCCAUGGCACCGAAAAUGUAUCAGGGCUCAAGUGAUUCACCGAAGCGACGAGACCUUGAAAGCUGCUUUUUCAAGUAUCAGUAGUGGAACGUUCUGUCAAUCGGGGAAUGUUUUUGGUGGCAAAACCUGGAGAUAUCAGAAGUGAGAAUGCUGACAUGAGUAACGAAAAAUCCUGUGAAAAACACGAUCGCCUGCCAGUGGAAGGUUUUCUGCGUUCAGUCAAUCUACGCAGAGUGAAUCGGUCCCUAAGGAACCCCCAAAAGGGCCUAGUCUGAUGGGUACACGAAAGUGACAAAGUUGCUUUGACUACAGAACCAUGCCUAUCUGUUGGAGCGAAUUGGAUGAUCGGGCCGAGGGCUGCCCCCUCUUCCCCUCACUCUCCUUUCCCUAAUAUGAACCUUGAGUCAUCAAAGCCUUUCUGACUCGGCCUGGCCCGGUCGCCCUACGCGACUGGCGCUUCAAANUUGACUCGGCCUGGCCUGGUCGCCCUAUGCGACUGGCGCUUCAAAAGGCGAAAAUCUCGAUCGUAGUUUGGCGACCUAUCUUCAGUAGGGGCCUUUAGUCUUUUUAUUAGAGUAGGGGUCGCGAGAGAGCAGAGCGUAUCGCCUUUCCAUAGUAACGAGUCUGUUUAUAGUCGCGACUAUUGUCAUAGUCAACAAGGUUGAAAUUUCCAGGAAAAAACUUUGAAUUGGGAGUGCGGUCCUCCCAGUGAACUGACUGUACCCCAAACCGACAUAGGUGAACAAGUAGAGUAUACUAGGGCGCUUGAGAGAACCAUGUCAAAGGAACUCAGCAAAAUGACCCCGUAACUUCGGGAGAAGGGGUGCUCUCCUAUCUUUUGAUUAGGAAAGCGGCNUGCUAAGUGGUAACAUGAUGUAUAGAGUCUGACACCUGCCCGGUACUGGAAGGUCGGAAGGAGAAUUGUUAUAAGCUUUGAAUGAAAGCCCCGGUAAACGGCGGCAGUAACUCUAACUGUCCUAAGGUAGCAAAAUUCCUUGUCGCAUAAGUAGAGACCUUCACGAAUGGUGUAACGACUGCCCCGCUGUCUCUGACAUGGACCCGGUAAAACUAAAUUCUCCGUGAAGAUAUGGAGUACCAAUGGAUAGACAUUAAGACCCCGUGCACCUUAACUAUAGCUUCGCAGUGACAACCUUAAUCGAAUGUGUAGGAUAGGUGAGAGGUGGUGACACACAACAACCAAUACUGAAAGACCACUCUUUCGUCUAAGGAUGCCUAACCACCACACCGAUCAUUCGUAGAGAGGCGUGACACUACGAGGUGGUUAGUUUAUCUGGGGCGGAUGCCUCCUAAAGAGUAACGGAGGUGUGCGAAGGUAGGCUCAAGCUAAGAUUCUGCUUGUGUGCGUAAUGGUAUAAGCCUACCUGACUGUGAGAUCGACUGGUCGAACAGAGAUAAAAGUUAGCUAUAGUGAUCCGGGAGUCCCGUGUGGAAGGGCUCUUGCUCAACGGAUCAAAAGUAUGCCAGGGAUAACAGGCUGAUGACUCCCAAGAGCUCUUAUCGAUGGAGUCGUUUGGCACCUCAAUAUCAACUCAUCACAUCCUAGGUUUGAAGAAGGUCCCAAGGGUUUGGUUGUUUGCCGAUUCAAGUGGUAUAUGAGUUGGGUUUAGAAUGUCGUGAGACAGUUCGGUUUCUAUCUACCGUUGGUGUUAAAGGGAGAACUACGAGGAGCCAACCCUAGUACAAGAGGAAUGGGUUGGGCUAGCCUAUGGUGUAUCGAUUGUUAUGCCAAUAGCAGCGCCGGACAGCUAAGUUGGUAUGGAAGAACUACUGCACCGUGGGAAAUCCUUCUCUAUACAAGUUCUCGGAUAAGGUUUUUGAACAGAACUUCGAUAGGCGAGAGGUGUAAGCAUCGCGAGGUGUGAAGCGAUCUCGUACUAAAUGAAAUGACUUUCACUU
rnacentral:rRNA from 1 species